GGGCGUGUAGCUCAGCUGGUUAGAGCGCCAAACUGAUAAUUUGGAGGUCCGUGGUUCAAGUCCACGCACGCCCA
rnacentral:tRNA from 1 species